GACGGUACUUGAGGAAUAAGCCACGGCUAAUUCCGUGCCAGCAGCCGCGGUAAUACGGGAGUGGCAAGCGUUAUCCGGAAUUAUUGGGCGUAAAGCGUCCGCAGGCGGUCUUGAAAGUCUGUUGUUAAAACGUGGAGCUCAACUCCAUUUCAGCAAUGGAAACUACAAGACUAGAGUGUGGUAGGGGCAGAGGGAAUUCCCGGUGUAGCGGUGAAAUGCGUAGAUAUCGGGAAGAACACCAGUGGCGAAGGCGCUCUGCUGGGCCAUAACUGACGCUCAUGGACGAAAGCCAGGGGAGCGAAAGGGAUUAGAUACCCCUGUAGUCCUGGCCGUAAACGAUGAACACUAGGUGUCGGGGGAAUCGACCCCCUCGGUGUCGUAGCUAACGCGUUAAGUGUUCCGCCUGGGGAGUACGCACGCAAGUGUGAAACUCAAAGGAAUUGACGGGGGCCCGCACAAGCGGUGGAGUAUGUGGUUUAAUUCGAUGCAACGCGAAGAACCUUACCAGGGUUUGACAUCCUGCGAAUCCCUUGGAAACGAGGGAGUGCCUUCGGGAGCGCAGAGACAGGUGGUGCAUGGCUGUCGUCAGCUCGUGUCGUGAGAUGUUGGGUUAAGUCCCGCAACGAGCGCAACCCACGUCUUUAGUUGCCAGCAUUUAGUUGGGCACUCUAGAGAGACCGCCGGUGAUAAACCGGAGGAAGGUGUGGAUGACGUCAAGUCAUCAUGCCCCUUACAUCCUGGGCUACACACGUACUACAAUGCUACGGACAAAGGGCAGCAAACUCGCGAGAGCUAGCAAAUCCCAUAAACCGUGGCUCAGUUCAGAUCGUAGGCUGCAACUCGCCUACGUGAAGGGGGAAUCGCUAGUAAUCGCAGGUCAGCAUACUGCGGUGAAUACGUUCCCGGGCCUUGUACACACCGCCCGUCACACCAUGGAAGUUGGCCACGCCCGAAGUCGUUACUCCAACCCUUGUGGAGGAGGACGC
rnacentral:rRNA from 1 species